rnacentral:rRNA from 1 species
GGGAAACUCACCAGGUCCAGACAUAACUAGGAUUGACAGAUUGAUAGCUCUUUCAUGAUUUUAUGGGUGGUGGUGCAUGGCCGUUCUUAGUUGGUGGAGUGAUUUGUCUGGUUAAUUCCGAUAACGAACGAGACCUUAACCUGCUAAAUAGCCAGGCCGGCUACGGCUGGUCGCCGGCUUCUUAGAGGGACUGUCAGCGUCUAGCUGACGGAAGUUUGAGGCAAUAA